rnacentral:antisense_RNA from 1 species
CUGCGCGCUGCGGUCCACUCGCACAGUGCGGAGCACAGAGGCCCCUGGAAAGAGCAGAGUGGGAGAGCAAAUUCUGGAACCGUCACGGGCGGAAACCACACAAGGGGGAAACAGACAAAACAGCAAAUCCGGAAGAACCAUUCCCGCUUCCGAAGCUCCAUAAUCACGGCAGACGCUUCUUAAAACCUCCCGUUUAAUAUCAGAUGCCACACAUAGGAGAUAAAUGUGCACGUCGGGAGAAACCACAGCACAGCCAGGAGUACUGGCGCACAGUGAAUACGCUUCCGUCCUUUCAAAAGCCUUUCCCGAACGGUAUCUUGUAAAAAAUGCCAAAAAUAAAAUGAAAAAAACUGCCA